rnacentral:siRNA from 1 species
AAUGUGCAAAUGUAAAAACGGAUA